GGCGGCGGCCGGGGCCCAUGGCGGCGUCCGCGGCUCUGUCGGCGGCGGCGGCGGCGGCGGCCCUAUUGGGCCUGGCGGUCCGGCUAUCGCGCUCCGCGGCGGUGCGCGGCUCCUACAGCGCCUUCUGCAAGGGACUCACGCGCACGCUGCUCACCUUCUUCGACCUGGCCUGGCGGCUGCGCUCCAACUUCCCCUGCUUCUACAUGGUGGCCUCGGUGAUGUUCAACGUGCGCCUGCAGGUGCGGAUCGAGUGAGCGCCGCGGCGGUGGCGGUGGCGGUGGCCGUGGCGGUGGCGGUGGCGUUGGCGGCGGCGGCCGGGCCGGCGGGAGGGAGAGUUGCCCGCCCACCGCGCAGGGCCGGGACGCUGCAGGAAGGACGGCGGGGCCACCCGGGGACACUGGGACGCGGCGGGGGCGGAGGCGACACAGCCCGAAGCCUGGGCCCUAGACCUCCCGGCGGGUGGACGCCCAGGCGACCUCAGCACCCGACCCUGGACUCCGCCCGGGCCCCCCGCGGGGACCCGCGCAACGGGUCCUUGGCAGUGGGCUCGCGAAAAAUUUUCGGGUUCAGCCGACCUGUUGCCUCACAGGGGCCAAAAGGGGUAAGAAGGAAGCAGGAAUUCGGCGGCAGCAGCUUGACUUUCAGGGCCCUGCACUGAAAGGCCUUGGUCUUUGUGGAUGGUUGCCGCUUCUUCUCUGGCUUUAUCAAGAGUCAGGUUCCUGGUCCAGCAGCUGCCUUGGGAGCAGCAGAGUGAAGCGCCUGGCCAGGAGAGGCCCAGGGGGGUGGGGAGGCCCAGGGACCGGGCCUGGCAUAGGAAGGAGGCCCAUGUUCCCUGGGCACGGAGAUCUGCUAAGCAACACUGUGAGGGAGGUGGAUUCUCCCACCUACCGAGCCUGAAGGGGCUCUGGGAAGGGGAUGGGAUCGGAGCUUGGCACACACAGGAGGGGAUGAAGCUGACUUGGCCACUGCACUGGAGCUUGAUUACCUUCUGCAGGCUUCUCCCAGACCUGGCAGCUUAGGGAGGGAGCACAGAGCUGCCGGGACACCUAGGGACAUAGGGGCCCAGGGGUAGGGAUUCUGGGGGUCUGGCUCUCCUUGAGGAGAGAUUGAGGGUCACAGGAAAUGUGGAAGAACAGCAAGCUGAGGAGGGCCACAAGAGGCGGGUCCCAGGCCUUGCUGGGGAGCCACGUCCUCCCCACCGUCCCCACCUUCCCGAGCUUGUCCAAAGGCUCCUCUGCAGUUGUGUGACACCAGCCUCCUAGUUUGCUGGUGGAGUAUGAUAGUGGCCAUGUGGCUCUGGGGACAGAGGUGACCAGGAGGGUGAAGAGAUAAACCUGGGGCUGGGAUAGGGCCGAGACCCAUGGCAUGCCUGCAUCUGUCGGUCCCCAGGCUCAGGCCCCCAUCCCCAGUAUCACGUGGGAUAAAGCUCAUCCCAACUGAUGGGAUUGGUCCUGGAGUGAAACCGUGGUCCCCAAACAGCCAGGAGCCACCCAGGGAGCACACUUACCCGGUUCCCACCCUCAGCUUCCCUGGCAGUGGUAGCUCCAGGCCCGUGCUCUGCUCAGUUCCUGGGACUGGAACCUGCGGCAGUCUGGCCCCCCAAGGACAGCGUGGUCCCGCCUCCUACCAUCUCCACUCCAAAGCUGCCCAUUGCAGCCAAGGUCCUGCAUGAAGAACUUGGUCUGCCUCACCCUAAAAACAAAGGCUGGAAGACUGCUGUCACUUGGCCCCUGAGGUUUCCCACAGCCUGAGCCCCAUGGCUUCCGUCCUUGUGCCAGAUCUCCCCCAAGCGCCAAGUCCUGUUGGUCUCCCUGGUUCCCCCUCCCCUGUCUCCCCGGGACCCCCUCUGGUGAACUUUCAGCCUCUGAGUCCACCCAGGGGUGCUCUCUGGGAGCCACCUGUGAGAGACAGGAGCCACACAGGGCUGGAGAAGAGGGAAGCAGGAGCCAGGGCCUCCUAGGGUCUGCGCCCCAGGUGUGGCCCUCUUCCACCCUGGUCCUACCCUCUGAGUGACCGGAUGCCCAGCUCUAGCCCCUUCCUGGGCCAGCAUGGAAGGAAAGAGGAAGGCCCUUCACUGAGUGUGUGUACGAAUUUGAGUGUGCCCCUGUGCACACAUGGGAGCAGCAUGUGCCUGUGUCUGCUUGUGAGGGUGGUGGCGGUGGAGCUGAGGAGCAGGAGUAGCCAUUCCAGGUGCCCACCCUGCCCUGUGCCAGGGGCUGGCCUGGGCCUUGGAGGCCCUCCGAACAGGCAGGGAUGAGUGUGCCGCUUUCGGGCCCGACCCUCAGCGGCCCUGCUGCUGUGGACCCCAGGCCUGCCCGGGGCCCUGGCUUGGCCUGUGGCUGUCUGCAUCCAAAGAGAUUAGUAAGAGAGGGCAGAGAGCAGGCCUCGGCCUCGUGUUCCUGGCACUGGCCUGGCCUUGAGUGGAUGGCAAACUGCUUCCCGCCUCCCCUCUGGCCAUGCUUUCUCUCCCCCACAGGGCCCUUGCUGCGUGAUGGGGUCUCGAUGCACUUUAUUUAUUUGCAGUCUGUCCUGGAUGGUAGAACUUCUCCAAAGGCAGACGUGUCGUGGAUGUCUUUGUGUUUCUCUGUGAUGCCUUCGGCACUGGCCGGAAUUGUCAGUCGGAACCUUUGUCUUGUUUCUGGUGUUGUCACAUCUUGUUGUCUCCCCAAGUGAAAAAGAAAGCCCUUGCAUUCUGCACACUACA